AAAAUACAAAUUUGAGGCAAGUUUAGGUGGUCAGUAAGAGGAGCUGCGUUUUUUAAUUAAUAUUUUUUUAAUUAUUUUUUUUUAUCUCUAGCAGUCUUAGAUCAACUUGAACUCCUUGUUUAGCUAGUUACAACUGCAGUAAUUGUUCGAGAACUAAUUUUGAGACUCUUCCUAUUAGGACUCAAUCAUGUCUCCUACUUAGGGUAGGACUAGUUAAUUUCCUAAUUUAUCUUUAUUUUCCUAAUGUAU
rnacentral:misc_RNA from 1 species